rnacentral:lncRNA from 1 species
AAGCAUACAUUCUUAAAGAGAUUAUUAAAUCCUAGUAACAUGGGCUGUAGUCUACAUAUAGAUGUGAUAAACCUUUAUUUCCUGGAUAUUUCCCACAGGAUCAUGGUAACUGUAAACUUAUAGUCACACUACAUACUUUUCACCACAAUUAUUAAUGGAAUCUUACUAGUGUUUCAGAAAAAGCAAACUAGUUCAUCACACUAACUGGUUAACUGACACUGAUUCCUCCAUAGAUCAGCCUACUGGAAAACUCAGUAUUCAUCAAUGUGAUGAACAAACUCUCUUUUUAAAUACAAUCUAAUUUAAAGUAAGAAAAGAAAUCAAUCCAACCUUCUGUAACCUUGGCACCUGGAUCUGUGGAAUGUUCGUCAUCAAAACUAAAGAAAAGAUACAAGACAUUUCAUUUUCUUUGUAUUUUAUAUGAAGGAAUGAAUAAUGAUCAAUGAAUAAUAAUGACUGUUAAAGAACCAUCUGUGCAAGUCUUUAUUUAUAUAGAUGCAAACCUGGCAUGGUAUGUCAAAAUAAAAAUGACAGCUACAUUGACUUUGGUUUUAUAUGU